AUACGGAGGGAGCAAGCGUUAUUCGGAAUCACUGGGCGUAAAGGACGCGUAGGCGGGUUUGUAAGUCAGGUGUGAAAUACUACAGCUCAACUGUAGAACUGCACUUGAAACUACAGACCUAGAGUAUGGAAGGGGCAGAUGGAAUUAGUGGUGUAGGGGUAAAAUCCGUAGAUAUCACUAGGAAUACCGAAAGCGAAGGCGAUCUGCUGGGACAUUACUGACGCUGAGGCGUGAAAGCGUGGGGAGCAAACAGGAUUAGAAACCCUAGUAGUCC
rnacentral:rRNA from 1 species